ACGAACGCUGGCGGCAUGCCUCACACAUGCCAGUCGAACGCGACCUUCGGGUCUAGUGGCGCACGGGUGCGUAACGCGUGGGAACCUGCCCUUAGGUUCGGAAUAACUCCCCGAAAGGGGUGCUAAUACCGGAUAAUGUCUUCGGACCAAAGAUUUAUCGCCUUUGGAUGGGCCCGCGUUGGAUUAGCUAGUUGGUAGGGUAAAAGCCUACCAAGGCGACGAUCCAUAGCUGGUCUGAGAGGAUGAUCAGCCACACUGGGACUGAGACACGGCCCAGACUCCUACGGGAGGCAGCAGUGGGGAAUAUUGGACAAUGGGCGAAAGCCUGAUCCAGCAAUGCCGCGUGAGUGAUGAAGGCCUUAGGGUUGUAAAGCUCUUUUACCCGGGAUGAUAAUGACAGUACCGGGAGAAUAAGCGCCGGCUAACUCCGUG
rnacentral:rRNA from 1 species